rnacentral:rRNA from 1 species
AGAGAAGGAGCUUGCUUCUUCGAUCGAGUGGCGAACGGGUGAGUAACGCGUGAGGAACCUGCCUCAAAGAGGGGGACAACAGUUGGAAACGACUGCUAAUACCGCAUAAGCCCACGGGUCGGCAUCGAGCAGAGGGAAAAGGAGCAAUCCGCUUUGAGAUGGCCUCGCGUCUGAUUAGCUGGUUGGCGGGGUAACGGCCCACCAAGGCGACGAUCAGUAGCCGGACUGAGAGGUUGAACGGCCACAUUGGGACUGAGAUACGGCCCAGACUCC